rnacentral:rRNA from 1 species
GAUGAACGCUGGCGGCGUGCCUAAUACAUGCAAGUCGAGCGAACAGACGAGGAGCUUGCUCCUCUGACGUUAGCGGCGGACGGGUGAGUAACACGUGGAUAACCUACCUAUAAGACUGGGAUAACUUCGGGAAACCGGAGCUAAUACCGGAUAAUAUAUUGAACCGCAUGGUUCAAUAGUGAAAGACGGUUUUGCUGUCACUUAUAGAUGGAUCCGCGCCGCAUUAGCUAGUUGGUAAGGUAACGGCUUACCAAGGCAACGAUGCGUAGCCGACCUGAGAGGGUGAUCGGCCACACUGGAACUGAGACACGGUCCAGACUCCUACGGGAGGCAGCAGUAGGGAAUCUUCCGCAAUGGGCGAGAGCCUGACGGAGCAACGCCGCGUGAGGGAUGAAGGUCUUCGGAUCGGAAAACUCUGUUAUUAGGGAAGAACAAAUGUGUAAGUAACUAUGCACGUCUUGACGGUACCUGAUCAGAAAGCCACGGCUAACUACGUG